rfam:Oryzias latipes DNA, scaffold1997, strain: Hd-rR.
AUCGCUUCUCGGCCUUUUGGCUAAGAUCAAGUGUAGUAUCUGUUCUUAUCAGAUUAAUUAAAAAAAAAAAUCUGUUCUUAUCAGUUUAAUAUCUGAUAUGUCCUCCAGUGGAGGACAACGUAUUAAGCCGAUUUUUGAAGAACGGAUGUGAAGGUGGAGCUUGCUCUAUUCACUCCAUGCAUUGACCCAGUAUUGCAGUGUUUCUGGGAACAGCGCCCACAUC